UGGGGAGUAGCCAAGUGGUAAGGCAGCGGGUUUUGAUCCCGUCAUGCGUAGGUUCGAACCCUACCUCCCCAG
rnacentral:tRNA from 1 species